CAUGUUCUUCCAGCAUAACGUUGCCACCUUCAGUUGGAAACGUAUCCUUAUCUAAUAAUUAAGCCCUGGAGAAAAAUUAAUUUAUAUAUUUUAUUAAUUACAUAAGGACAUUGUUAUUAGCUAAGCAGAGUAAGUAAAUCGAAAUAAAACUUUAAAAAUGCCUUUAUGGAGAGAAUGACUAUCUCUGAAAGCUUGUUUUUAAUGAUGAUAAAAUUCAUGAUCAGAAUUUGUUUCUGUUUGCUUUAAUUCAGGGGUCAAAAACUGAAAUACCAUCAGAGGCCCAGGAGGGGCUAGUUGUAACUGGCAAAUAUAGUAAAUUAAUUUGCUCUGGUUGAUAGGUAGCAAGCAGGGUUUAUAUACAUUGUCACCUACUUUUCCAGUUAACAGGAGAGACUGGAGAUUUUAUGAAAUUUGAUAUUUAAAUGUUGGUAACUGGGUUGGGCACCAUGGCUCACACCUCUAAUCCCAGCACUUCGGGAGGCUGAGGCGGGUGGAGCACCUGAGGUCAGGAGUUAAAGACCAUCCUGACCAGCCUGGUGAAACACAGUCUCUAAUAAAGAUACAAAAAUUAGGCCGGGUGUGGUGGCUCAUGCCGGUAAUCCCAGCACUUUGGGGAGGCCAAGGUGGGCGGAUCACCUGAGUCAGGAGUUUGAGACCAGCCUGCCUAAAUGGUGAAAACCUGUUUCUACUAAAAAUACAAAAAAGUAGCUGGGCGUGGUGGUGGGCGCCUGUAAUCCCAGCUACUCUGGGGGCUGAGGCAGGAGAAUCACUUAAACCCAGGAGGCAGAGGUUGCAGUGAGCCGAGAUCACACCACUGUACUCCAGCCUGGGUGACAGAGCGAGACUGUCCAAAAAAAAAAUUGAUAAUUAAAUGUUAAAAGUCAGCGACUCCAGUAAUACGUGGUGGGCUGAGUAUUAGACUACUGGCUUACAUCCUCUGAUGUCAUUACUUUCUUGUUCGUUUGUGACUUGAGGUUGGAUUUUAAGCAAAUGUAUUUGUGGCUUUUUACCAAGGUCAUAUGGCCAGAUAACUUUUCAAAAGCAUUAGUUAAAGAAUUCUGAUUAGUUUGAAUUAGAAACAAAACUCAAAGAACAUGACCUAAUUUAACAGGUUAAUUUGAAGUGCAUCUGCCAAGUAGAAGACCAGCAAGAAAAAAAAAAUGGGUUCCUAGGAAGAGGUAGUAGGUUGCAUAGUUUUAGGGCAGGGAUUUUGCCCACAAGGAGGUAACUAUACGACCUGCUGCCUUUCUUAGGGCCUUAUUAUUCACCGAUAACCUGUUUCCUUGCUACUUUGCUUUGGUGUAAGCAGAGUUCUUUCUGUAGGUUUUUUCAAAUGAAAACAUUGCAAGAAUAUCAAAGAGAGCAGUGUUUGCGUUAGUGAUUAUAAACUGCAGCAUGGUGCUGACAUUGAUAACUGAAAGUCAACUAAUGAGAAUUUGAGACUUCUGAAGUACACUUAGUUGCUAGUGUCUCCCUUUUGGUGUCACUGGAAAGUUUAGAAAGCAUGGUUUUGUUUUUGCUCAGGUUUCUCUUUCUGUGAUGCAGAGACUCUCAGCUGUUCCUCCUCUAUGUCUACAUUAUGUCUGAAGGAAAGAAUUUAACAAAACUUGAAAUACUGCUGUUUUUCUACAAUGUUUGUAAAUAUUUAUCUUGCUGCUUUUCUAGGUUUGUCUUCUGGAUUUAAAAUUUGGGGCGGCUGGGGUGGAAUUGCAUGGUUUGGGAAUGGGUAAUUGAGCUGCUGCUCAUUAUGGUAUGUAACAGUGAUUUGUCUGUUUAAUAUGUACAAGAACUGGAAGGUCAAUAAAAUGAAAGUGGUUGUCUUGACUGGGUAAUAGUGUUACAUAUUUUGUUAAAAGUUAUACAUCUUUUCAAUAAAAACACUGCAUACUUCAAAACUAGUGCUUUUUAAGUCAUCCUUAACCCUUAUCCCCAUCCUUGCAGUAGUAGAUGCAUUUUUCAUUUGUAAUUAUUAUGAUUUGUUCUUAGUUUCAUUUUUCAUUAGCAAUAAUUUGGUGAUUGGAUGGUCAUUUACAGAUGUUUUAAUAAAGCUAACACGAGCAAUUUCCAGCUCUUCCAUUUUUGUAAACACUUGUGUGACUUUGUACAGACAAUUAACUGCUCAGGAUCACCCUCCUUUUUGUUUUGUUUUUGAGAUGGUCUCAUUCCGUCACCCAUGCUGGAGUGUAGUGAAAUGAUCACAGCUCACUGCAGCCUUGACCUCCCGGACUCAAGCUUCCUAGUAACUGGGACUACAGGUGCAUACAACCAUGCCUGGCUAAUUUUAUUUUUGUAGAGACGGUUUCACCAUAUUGCCCAGACUGGUCUUGAACUCCUGAUUAUCCUCUGGCUUUUACCUCCCAAAGUGCUGGCCAGGACAGCCUCCUUUCUUUACUUGAGUAAUUAUUUGAGUUUGCUCAGGCAGACACUACCUUGUAAAAACUCUUAUGUCUCAUUUCACUAGUCUAGUUUGAGCAUUUAUCAUUCUAGGAAUGAGACGAAUUUGUGCAUUAGCAUUCCAUCUUUUUCCAACUACUAUGAACAGUAGUAUUUUUUUUUAUUUUAUUUUAUUUUUUGAGACAAAAUCUCACUGUUUCCCAGGCUAGAGUGCAGUGGUGUGAUCUCAGCUCACUGCUGCAACCUCCACCUCCUGGGUAGAGUAGACAGGAUUUAGGUAAUUUUUUGUAUUUUUAUUAGAGACAGGGUUUCACUAUGUUGGCCAGGCUGGUCUUGAACUCCUGGCCUCAAGUGAUCCACCGGCCGUGGCCUUCCAGAGUGCUGGGAUUACAGGUGUGAACCACCCUUGCCUGAUCAUGAGCAGUAAUACAUUUAAAAGUCUCCAGGGGUGAGAAAGUUGAAAGGAAAUUCAGUGGAGUUUCCCAUCCUGCCCCUCUGCUGCCUAGCCCCUUGCUCCAGUGGAAGGAAGAAUCGUGAUCUAGGGAUGUUCUCAUACUUGGGGCUUUAAAUUUCCUUUAUGAAUUGAGAUGGUUGGGUAUGUUUUCUAAGGUACCUUACAUGGUACAGUUCUUUAAAGUUGAAGAUUUAAGUUGUGGCAAAAUUGCAUCAAUUUCAUGUGCACUGAUUUAGGCGAAGAUGCGUAGGAAAAGAGCAAGGAAAUGAGGUGUGAUAGGAUUGGGGUAAUUUCAAAAUGAGUAUUUCUGCCUGGCCUAGUGGUUCACGCCUGUAAUCACAGCACUUUGGGAGGCCAAGGCAGGCAGAUCCCCUGAGGUCAAGAGUUCGAGACCAGCCUGGCCAACAUGAUGAAACCCCAUCUUACUAAAAAAAAGUAGCUGGCAUGGUGGUGGGCUACUUGUGAGGCUGAUGUAAGGAGAACCGCUUGAACCAGGGAGGUGGAGGUUGCAGUGACCAGAGAUUACGCUAUUGCACUCCAGCUUGGACGACAGAGCAAGACUGUCUUAAAAAUGUUUCUAGUUUCACUUAUUCUAAAUUUAUGUCUAACCAUUUUUAGUGAAGUAUUUGAGUCACAUCAGCUAGCCUUUUUCCUACAGCGUUGAAGUAAUUUUCUAGGUUCCUUGCUCUCCCCCCAUUUUAUUUCCUACUUUGCUUUCUGUUGUUGGGGUCCUAUGGGGAGGGCUGGGAAAGGAGUUGGGCCCUCUUAGGACUGGUCAUCAAUCUUUGUUCUGAGCAGUGUUUUGUUUUCUGGUUGAAUGGCUGACCUGAAGGAAGCAUCAGACUCCUUGGGAUUCUGAAAUCCUAUUUCUUGAUAGAAACCCAUAACUUAUUUUAGUUUGACUUAAAAACGAUCCAUAAGUAAGCAUGCAGGGUUGGUGUAACUGCAUUGAACUGGUAACAUCAGAAACACGGGUAGAAAUGAGGUACCCCAGUGAUACGGAAGCUUUGUGACUGAUGUCCUGGAUUCUUUCUAGCUUUUCUUCCAGCCCUAACACAUGGUUUCCAUUCUCAAGGUUACCUCUGUAACAACUGACUGCUAUAACUGGCCACGUCGUUUUUCCAUUCAUGAAGAUGGAAAAAGGAAAAGGCAGAAGGGACACUUUUAUGGUUGAAUUCAUUUAGUUUUCUCAAGAAAUGCCACCUAGUGACUCCUUUACGUGUAAUCCCUUGGAACUAUCACAGACUAGACCAAGGAAUCCUGGAAAGUGGUCCUGGCAGGACUGAUUGCCAGGCUGAAUACAAUCAGGGUCCCACUAGUAAGGAGGGGAGAAAGGAAAUAACACAGAUAGUUAUCUGCAGUAAUUGGCAUUAGGAAAAAAAACUUGACAAAGACUGACAAGCUCUGUUCCACUCCUGCCAUUUAAAGAAAAACACACACACGCAUAAAAACACCAAGUGGCCUCAGAUGGGCAGCACUCCUCCUGACCCUGGGCUUCAGAAAUUUUCACUGGGAGUCUGAUGAGGCUCAGCCACAGUUGUGUGGGACUGUUCUCAAUUUCAAGCAGAGGAGCAGAGAAAGCUGGUUAGUUGCGGAGGCUUCCCACAUUACUUGGACCCUACAAUAUAUAUGACUUCUAUCACAGGACAUGGUACAGAACUGGAACAAUAAAGCAUUUUUUAAAAUUUAAUUUCUUGAGCAAUUUUAGUUUCACAGCAAAAUUGAGCAGAAAGUAUAGUGUUCACAUAUACUUCCCUGUUUAUUACGCACACACUGCCUUCCUCACUACUGAAGUCCUGACCAUAAUGGUACAUUUUAAUAAAGCAGUUUGUUUUUCCCUUUUCUUUGAAGUUGUUCCAUCAUGAGAAUUAGGCUAAAAGUCUUAGCUUACUGCCCCAUGGAAGGAAGGACAAAUAGCAAUGACCAAGCAACGUAUUUUUAGCUUUGAGGCCAAAAUUGGCUGAAAAUGACAGAAGCAGUUACUUCAGAGAAAAUGAUUUUUUGCAGUUCUGCAUAAAUUUGAAGAGAAGAGUUACUAGCAAGCAGUAAGAUGAGAGGAAAUGAAACCAGUCAGACUGCUGAGUGCUGGAGAAGCGGUCCCUGUGCACACUCCGGCAUGGGCAUGGUAGGACUACCUGUAUGGAUUAAGGGGAGUCAAGGGUCAGGGGAUGGUUGAUCUGCAUUUUUUUCCCCAGGGCAUAACCUGAGACCACAAAGCUUCUAGGGAAGGGUUGUGUACAUCAUGGCCCCACAGCAGUGAGAGGCUUGAAGAAUGCUCUGGCUAAAGACACGGAGGUGCUGUGGCAGGCACUGUUACUUGCCUACCCAAAUAUCCCCUUGCUGGGAGAACCUUGAUUUUGUUGAGGUAUGGAUCUCAGGAAAGUUACCCUAGUUUUUUGUCUAGGGGUAGGCAUGUGACCAGAUUUGAUCAGUGAGAUGUAAAGACCAGUGGUAGGGAGAGGGUUUCUUUCUUUUCUUCUCCCUCCCCCGACCCACCCCAGAGUCUCGCUUUGUCACCCAGGCUGAAAUGCAGGGGCGUGGUCACGGCUCACUGCUGCCUUGACCUCCCCAACUCAAGCGGUCCUCCUACCUCAGCUUCCCACAUAACUUGGACUUUACGCGCACACCGCCAUGCCUGGCUAAUUUUUUUCUGUUUUACAGACGGAGUCUUGCUAUGUUGCCCAGGCUGGUCUUGAACUCCGGGGCUCAGACAGUCCUCCCACCUUGGGCUCCCAGAGUGCUGGGAUUACUGCUGUGAGCCACUGCACCUGCCUGCAUCAUGCUUAGGUUUGAAUGUGGUUGUGUGAUGAUCAGAGCUGCUGCAGCCAUCUUGUGACCACGAAGGGAUGUACAUGAAGCAUGGCACCAACAGCUGCUCCUGUGAGGCCUCAAGAAGCUUACAAUCGUGGCAGAAGCUGAAGGGGGAGCCAGCGUGUGGCAUGGCAAGGGAAGGAGCAAGAGAGAGAGGGAGGAGCUGCCAGGCUCUUGAACAACCAGAUCUCACGUGAACUCACAGAUUGAAAUUCACUCAUUACUGUGAGGACACACCAAGCCAUUUAUGAGGGAUGCACCCCUAUGACCCAAACACCUCCUACUAGGCCCACCUCCAACAUCAGAGGUCACAUGAAACGAGAUGUAUAGGGGACAAAACAGUCAAACCAUAUCAGUCCCACCAGCAAGAAGGCUCUCACUGGAUGUGGUCCCUUGAUCUUGGACUUCUCAGCCUCUGUAACUGUAAAAAAUAAAUUUUGUUUCUUAUAAAUU
rnacentral:lncRNA from 1 species